rnacentral:tRNA from 1 species
GCUUUCAAAGGAUAAUAGCAAUCCCAUGGUCUUAGGAGCCAUUCAUCUUGGUGCAAAUCCAAGUGAAAGCA